GUUUUUAGGUUUUAUUUUAUUUCGUUUAUUUUACUCAAACUUCUGUCGCAAUUUUAAACAAGUGUUGACUAAACUUAAUGAAAAUUAGAAAUUUUAACUCUGCAGCUAGCUGAAAUAAAACACUUAUGUUGUUUUAUAUUUUAUUUAGUUUCAGUUAAUGUUUAUUUCAAGUAAUGAUUUUUUUAUAUAUGGUUUAAUUUUAUUUAACAAUAAUAACCCUGAUUCAAGCUGCUCUUUUCCAAACAGUGAAAAUGAAUGCAAACAAGAAGCAAGAAUUUCAGGAACUACGACUUAAAUUUUAGCCACACAAAUGAUAGUACGGCUUCAGAACACUAAAGAUAUAGCGCAUAAGUAAUGUGGACCACUUAUGAUACUUUAAUGGUGCUUAUUUAAGGUUUCCCUUUCAUUUCCAUUUUAAACUUUCAUUGUAUAGAAAAGAGCAGCAUGAACAACAUCCAUUUGGAUAACUGAAAGGGUUAGUUCACCCAAAAAUGACAAUUCUGUCAUUAAUUACACACCCUCAUGUUGUUUGGAACGACAUGACAGUGAGUAAUUAAUGACAGAAUUUUCAUUUUUGGGUGAACUAACCCUUGAAGACAGGAUUUCCAUUUUGUGGACAACUACCCCUCUUCCUCUCUAUUCCUGCUUCCUCUUGAUCUACAUGUUCUUCAUUCGAAAUGAGCAUUCAAGAAAACCACAGUACUGUUUCCUCAUUCAAGCGGCGAGAUGGACGAUAGUGACAUUCUGACUGCAGUAUCCAGUGAAAUGCAGACGCGAUGCUCAUUACCUGCGCUCUCGGUGUAUUCACGACGACACAGCAAGAGACUGGAAAAUCUCUGUGAGGAACAUGGUUUCAAAUGUUUUCCUUUUGUGACUGUUCAAAAGUGACGUAAUGCUCAUAGUAAAAUGUUGCUAAUACUUCAGGAUUUAAUACUUUUGUUUGGGUUUCGAUGUCACGCUGCAAGUGCUUGUGUGUCUCGGCUUGUCCAGAAGGGUUGAGGUGCAGGAGGGUUCUGCUUUGAUGGAGCGUUGUAACUAUGAAUAGAAUGUGCCUGUUAUUAUGAUCACUGUGUGAUGUAUAUUACCAAACUAUGGAAGCCCAUUUCAGAUCCAUAAUAUAAUUAGGCCUUGGUAAAUCAUCGUGACAUAAAAUCUCAUAAUCUUGAGUAAUAAUUAUGACAGUAAUAUUCAUAAAAUGAAACGUCUAAAUCAUGACAGUCAUACCUAUGAAAUAAAAAAAAAAUGACAAAGUCAGAAUUAUGAGAUAAAGUCACAAGUCAAAAUUAUGACAUGCAAAGUUGUAUUUAUAAGAUGAAAAGUCAAAAUUAUGUAAAAAAGGAG
ensembl:lncRNA